AAAGAUUCUAUCGAACUGUCAAUUAUAGUUUAUACCGCGCGUGAAAGUGGCAAAACGCGAACUCUAUUUCUACAAUAUGGGAAGACAAAAAAAUAUAUAGCAAAUUAGCUGGAUGCUAAAUUGACGCAUCGCCGAGGAAAAGUAUGUUUAACGUAUGCCUCGUUCGCGUCGGUAGCUCGAACGCAGAGUUUCGCGUAUUAUAUUGCCACGUGUUAUCGUUCGAAGAACUGAACGUCUCUGCCGACAAAGGAGCGAAGCCAGACGUUAAAGACGAUUGUUUCGGAGACCGCAACUCGCGUUCGUGCAGCCCAAAGCAGGAAAAAAUCGCGGCUUCUACGAGAACCAUUUUCCGUCUCCUUCUUCCGAGCGCGCAAACAACGAAGCUGUCUCUGUCACUCCGGGUUCCAUGACGAAAACCGCAACGUUAAGAAGGGAAGCAUUUUUUCCGUUGUUCGUUCGUAAUCAACGAACGAAAUUAAAAGCACGAACGCGCGCGAUUGUUGCAACGGAUCGGCAAACGUAAAACGAUUGUGGAUUGUAUUUAAACUUUGGUUAUUGGUAAUACGUAGGAAGCGCUAUCUCGAUACAAGUAUCGAUCGACAAGGCUGUUGGUGACGUAAUUUCAAGGAGAGGAUCCGGCGAUCUCUGGCGCAAUAGAAUUUCGCUGAAUCCGUGACCGACCAGGGUGAAAGAGACGUUCGCGAAAAAUUGGCUCGCGAUUGAGCUGACAGGUACCGUUUCCGUCGAACUGCGACCAAACGAAUGCUCCCGCGUUCCCGUGGCCCGGAGUAAUUCGACGGAACGAUUCGUCCGACCGUAAAAUUUCAAGCGGCACGGAUUUUCGUUAAACGGGCGACGAAAAUGAUUAAAGAUCACGGGCUACAGACCACAAAUAGCGAGUUGACUGCGCAUAGCAGGUAUUUGAUACAACGUAGCCCAACGUCGAGGUGCGUGGCAGCCAUUUUGGUGCACGUUCGCCGUGAAUCCUCUUGCACGCAGGUGCACUACAGAACGAUACUGCUCCUUCUCUCUCCCGUGCCACGAGGAAGAACCGACUGAACGCGGAAAACACCUAAACUCGAUUCGAUAUAUCGCAUUAUCUACUGAUAAAGACGUUCACAUUCCGGCGACACACGUAACGCUGUUUAGUUACCAGUUUUUACAAUGGUUUUUGCGACACUUUUCGAUCCGUGCUCCGUAUCAGGCGUUACCUUCUCUCGUAUAACGUAGUUUUGUCAACAAGACGUGAAUUGAGAUUCGAAAGAGACACGACAAUUUGGACUAUUGGAUACUACUGUUCAAUUAUUGGGCAUUUCUGGAUAUUAAUGAUACGGAUUAUUUAGUUUUUGAAUGUUCGACAGUACCUAUCAUGCUUCGUGGAAUCGAAUUUGUAUCGAUAUCUUAACUACGUGCUUCUCAUUCAAAUGCAACAAAUAAUCUUUUGAUUACUGAUAGAGCCGCGAUACGCGAUAUUAAACAAACCGAUGUUUCUAAUUUAUGUAUUUCAUAUAAACACGCGUAAGUGCUAGAAACAUUGGGAAAAUAAAUCGUGGUUGUAUUGCUUUUAUUUUCAAUUUCAUUUUUUCAUUGACAAUUGCAUCAACAGAUGUAAUUAUAGUAUAUCCAGUGUCAUACUUGGGUUUUGCCAAAUGUAAUUUAGCAAAAUAAAUUAUAAUUUAUUCUCUGAAAUUGAUGAUAUAAUUCUAUAAGAAGCUAAACAACGAAAUCGUUUCACGAAUAAUCGCUUUUGAUCAACAACAAUCAUUGACGAUAUUUUUAGCAGAGGGAUCAAGAGGCACGUUUUAAAAUUGUAAUUUAAAAAUUACUCGAUCGAUUAUUGUAACGCCUAUAAAAUUAAUUAUGAGAAGUAUAUGUGUACAGAGAAGAUCGGCAAAAAUAACGUUAAUGUAGGAAAUAAAAAAUUAUAUUUUAUUUCAGUCGUACAACUGUACACUAUAAUAAUCGAGACGUUAUCGAGGAGCAAACGUUGUUUCCUAUUGUCUAACGAGUUGGUGAUGUUUAUUGGUCAGAGGUAAAGAAAAGUGCCAUUGGAUGCGCUAUGAAACGAGGAAAAUACUACUAAACGAUAUGCUCGUCUUAAUAUCGAUGAACAUAAUUUGUAAUUCGUUAAUGUAAUAAUAAAUCAUACGUCACGUAGUAACACUCCUCUUCUCGGAAGUCAUGACUUGUACUCUUUUGUAUAAGGAAUAUAAAAUCAUAAAUGUACUACAUUGAAGGAAAUAGAUGGAAAUAAUUAUUUAAAUUAUGUAUAAAUCAACUAAAGAAUGAUUUGAUGUUAACAUACA